rnacentral:rRNA from 1 species
UACAUGGGGUGCAACCGUUGCUCGGAAUCAUUGGGCGUAAAGCGCGCGUAGGCGGUUAUCUAAGUCGGAUGUGAAAGCCCUCGGCUUAACUGAGGAAGUGCAUCCGAAACUGAAUAGCUAGAGUACGAAAGAGGGUCGCGGAAUUCCCGGUGUAGAGGUGAAAUUCGUAGAUAUCGGGAGGAACACCGGUGGCGAAGGCGGCGACCUGGGUCGAGACUGACGCUGAGGCGCGAAAGCGUGGGGAGCAAACAGG